rnacentral:lncRNA from 1 species
CAUUUAUUGACCAUUACUUUAAUUUCUUAGUAAUAAUUUCCCCCAAUCCCUAAUGUUAUAUUUUUACAUUUAUUCAUACAUUCCUUUCUUGUUCAUUCAGUAAUUCACCUAGUCAUUAAUUUCUUUUUUUUGUAAUGUGCUAUGACGUAUUUAAUAUGUAUGUGGAAGGCAUUGCGUUAGCAAAGAAAAGCAAAUGUUAAACCACAUUUAUGUACCCUUAAAAAUAAAUGCGUGUGUUUUUUUCAUUUUAUUACAUUUUUAAAGGGGAGCAAUGGGACAAAAAUGAGGCACACGUGGACAUUCCCCAUUUUCCCUCAUUUGCUAACAUGUCUUCUUGUGCUCUGAGGUGAGUUCAGCUCGGAGAGUCCUGCUUUGACAGACAAGUUCUUCUGAGCUUUAGGCAUGAGAAGAGGGAGGAAAGGAAGAGAG